rnacentral:rRNA from 1 species
GAGUUGUGCGUCUCUAAGCCAUGGUAGAGACGCGGCGUACGGCUCAGUAACAUGUGGCUAACCUACCCUUAGGACGGAGACAACCCCGGGAAACUGGGGCUAAUACCCGGUAGAUUAGGAGGCCUGGAAUGGUUUCUAGUCGAAAAGGCGUUGAAACCAUGCUUUUCGACGUCGCCUAAGGAUGGGGCCGCACCUGAUCAGGUUGUUGGUGGGGUAACGGCUCACCAAGCCUAUAACCGGUACGGGCCGUGAGAGCGGGAGCCCGGAGAUGGGCACUGAGACAAGGGCCCAGGCCCUACGGGGCGCAGCAGUCGCGAAAACUCCGCAAUGCGCGAAAGCGUGACGGGGCUACCCCGAGUGCCGUCCGCUGAGGAUGGCUUUUCCCCGGUGUAAUGAGCCGAGGGAAUAAGGAGAGGGCAAGACUGGUGUCAGCCGUCGUGGUAAUACCAGCUCUCCGAGUGGUACGGAUGAUUAUUG